rnacentral:rRNA from 1 species
GACGAACGCUGGCGGCGUGCUUAACACAUGCAAGUCGAACGGAAAGGCCCUGCUUUUGUGGGGUGCUCGAGUGGCGAACGGGUGAGUAACACGUGAGUAACCUGCCCUUGACUUUGGGAUAACUUCAGGAAACUGGGGCUAAUACCGGAUAGGAGCUCCUGCUGCAUGGUGGGGGUUGGAAAGUUUCGGCGGUUGGGGAUGGACUCGCGGCUUAUCAGCUUGUUGGUGGGGUAGUGGCUUACCAAGGCUUUGACGGGUAGCCGGCCUGAGAGGGUGACCGGCCACAUUGGGACUGAGAUACGGCCCAGACUCGUACGGGAGGCAGCAGUGGGGAAUAUUGCACAAUGGGCGGAAGCCUGAUGAAGAAACGCCGCGUGCGGGAUGACGGCCUUCGGGUUGUAAACCGCUUUCGCCUGUGACGAAGCGUGAGUGACGGUAAUGGGUAAAGAAGCACCGGCUAACUACGUG